AAGACCAGAAUCGCUUCCUUCCUAUUCAUCAGAGCGAACGAGAGCAAAGGACACCCCCGUCGUCGAGAAAGGCUCGAUCUCAUCAACCUCGAUUCAUUCCCAGCGGAAGAAGCCUCUUCUCCCCUCAUGCUGUUCGCAUCUCAGCUCGCGCAAGGUAGCACGACGAGAUGGAUGGUCAUGGCGAUUUGAACAUCCUUCCCCAGAAACGUUGGAAUGUGUACAAUUAUGAGAACGGAGAGAAGGUCCGGAAAGAUGAAGAGGCUGCCGUGAAAGAGGAGCAGCCGAAGCGAGAGCAAGCGAGGAAGCACAAUGCUGAGUUUGUCUCGAGAAGCUUCGUGCUGCCCGUGGCUUCGCUCCUGCCAGUCAACCUGCUGAAGCUCCUGCUAGUCAGCGAGUGGAGCCAGCUGGGACGAACAAGAAGUCUGGCCAUAUCAAUGUCUUUGAGGGAAUUAAGAUUUUCGACCCAGUUGAACUACCAAAAAAUGGGGCAGGAAAUGAAAGGGAUGUAUUCAAGAGGUAGAAGAUGAAGAAAGAGGAGGUGCCGAAAGUGGUAACCGCAGAGGAUGAGAAAUAUAGAUUGGGAUAUGGGAUUGCUGGAAAAGGAGUUAAAUUGCCAUGGUAUCUUGAGAAACGGGGUGAUCACGUUGAUGGGGAGAAAUUUGGGGAUGAAGGGCCGUCGAGGGAUGAGAAGGAGCAGGGAAAGAAAAGUGGGAAGAAGACAUUGGAGGAGCUGAGGGAGGAACGGAUGAAGAGAGAAAAGCAGGAGAAAGAAAGGGCAAGGUCAUUGAUGCUAGAGAAGAGCCGAAGGGAUGGAAAUCUACUUAAGGACAAGGGUUUUCAGAGGAGGUGACGCUGCAAAUUUUGGUCAUUUAGACUUUUGAUCGUACUUAUAUGUAGACCUUGCCUUAUGGCUGAUUGAGAGGGCCUGGACCGUGCUAUUGGUUUGGCAAGAUUUGGAUUCUAAGGUCCUGUUUUCGGAGGUUUCUGCUCCCUUGUGCAGUUCUCCAAUCUACAUUUGCCUUGCGAAAUAGGUUCCCUCCUGUAGAGAUAUGAAAGCUUCACUUCAGAUUCUCUUUGAGAAAGAAUGGACUGGUUCGCCUGUACUUUUCAAAUCCUGGAGACGAUCAACGGAUAAUCACAGCUUGUAAAUGUCUAUUCCUUUUCAUUUUGGCUUUCUUGGUCAUUAUUGCAUUAUGCUGGAAUGAUAUCACUUUGAUCCUUCUGCAAGUUA